rnacentral:rRNA from 1 species
AACGAACGCUGGCGGCAUGCCUAACACAUGCAAGUCGAACGAGACCUCCGGGUCUAGUGGCGCACGGGUGCGUAACGCGUGGGAACCUGCCCUUAGGUUCGGAAUAACUCCCCGAAAGGGGUGCUAAUACCGGAUAAUGUCUUCGGACCAAAGAUUUAUCGCCUUUGGAUGGGCCCGCGUUGGGUUAGCUAGUUGGUAGGGUAAAAGCCUAUCAAGGCGUCGAUCCAUAGCUGGUCUGAGAGGAGGUUCAGCCACACUGGGACGGGGACACGGCCCAGACUCCAGGGGGGGGAGGGGUGGGGGAUAUUGUGGGAUGGGGCAAAACCCAGCUCCGGCACUGCCGGGGAAUUGAUGAGGGCUUUGGGGUGGAAAAGCUCUUUUCCCCGGGAUGAAAUGGACAUUCCGGGGAAAAAAAGUCCCGCCUAACCCCUU